AUGAAGAAGCAUCCUGUUCCCUGCCAGCUGCAACAGAAAGCUUGCAAAGUUGACCAAGAAGGCAUAGCUGGAGAUGGCAGCUCAUGCGGUCCGCAGCAGAAGAGGAACUGAGCGCAGUGCAGGAAACAUUUUAGUGAUCGGCUUAGGUCUGGCGAGGCAAGUCCUAAGUUUGAUCCAAUCGCAUGUUAAUUGGUCAGCAGUUACCAGAUUGCAAAAGAGAGGGGCAGCCUGAGGGUGCAUAUAGAGUUUUCCUGACCAUGGGUGAGAUGUGUGCUCAGCAGCCUUGAUGAUCAGUAAGCAUUGUCCAUUAUCUGAAUGUUACCGGACUAUAGACUAUAGGAAGUCUGCAACAUCCUACGUGAAGGAACAGCUGCAAGUGGCACAAGGCAAACGAAUGAAGGAAAAGCGUUAGCAAAACAAAGAAUGCGCUGGAGAAGAGUGUGUUGGGUGAGACUCUGGAGCUUUGCAGUGUUUGUUGGAAGGUUACUAACUUUUGUUCUUGACGGAUGUUUUUCUCACUGAGAUAAAGACCAGGAUGCAAGACAUCCCUGGCUCCGUAACUCGCUGAGGCUGCAAGUUUUUGAGGCUCAGUCCCCUGAGCUGCAUCCUCAGAUGUAUGGCUUACGAACUUCCCUCCUGAAGCACUUACUCCAGAUUUCAACACUGG